AUUGAACGCUGGCGGAAUGCUUUACACAUGCAAGUCGAACGGCAGCACGGACUUCGGUCCGGUGGCGAGUGGCGAACGGGUGAGUAACACAUCGGAACGUGCCCAGUCGUGGGGGAUAACGUAGCGAAGGCUACGCUAAUACCGCAUACGAUCUAAGGAUGAAAGCGGGGGAUCGCAAGACCUCGCGCGAUUGGAGCGGCCGAUGGCAGAUUAGGUAGUUGGUAGGGUAAAGGCCUACCAAGCCGACGAUCUGUAGCUGGUCUGAGAGGAUGAUCAGCCACACUGGGACUGAGACACGGCCCAGACUCCUACGGGAGGCAGCAGUGGGGAAUUUUGGACAAUGGGCGCAAGCCUGAUCCAGCCAUUCCGCGUGCAGGAUGAAGGCCUUCGGGUUGUAAACUGCUUUUGUACAGAACGAAAAGGCUCUGGUUAAUACCCGGGGCUCAUGACGGUACUGUAAGAAUAAGCACCGGCUAACUACGUGCCAGCCGCCGCGGUAA
rnacentral:rRNA from 1 species